GACGAACGCUGGCGGCGUGCUUAACACAUGCAAGUCGAACGGAAAGGCCCUGCUUUUGUGGGGUGCUCGAGUGGCGAACGGGUGAGUAACACGUGAGUAACCUGCCCUUGACUUUGGGAUAACUUCAGGAAACUGGGGCUAAUACCGAAUAGGACCUCUUGCUGCAUGUUGGGGGUGGGAAAGUUUCGGCGGUUGGGGAGGGACUCGCGGCUUAUCAGCUUUUUGGUGGGGUAGUGGCUUACCAAGGUUUUGACGGGUAGCCGGCCUGAGAGGGGGACCGGCCACAUUGGGACUGAGAUACGGCCCAGACUCCUACGGGAGGCAGCAGUGGGGAAUAUUGCACAAUGGGCGGAAGCCUGAUGCAGCAACGCCGCGUGCGGGAUGACGGCCUUCGGGUUGUAAACCGCUUUCGCCUGUGACGAAGCGUGAGUGACGGUAAUGGGUAAAGAAGCACCGGCUAACUACGUG
rnacentral:rRNA from 1 species